CAAAGGCGGGCGCGCGCACGUCCUUACGCACGCCUUGGCCAGCGGCGGCAGGCAAGGGCGGGAGGCGCUGUCUGCGGAGGAUUUGGGAGCCCUGGAGCCUCGCGGUCGAUCUGGCAGCAUGUAAACAACUUUUUGCCAAGAACCCAGGUCACCGCUGAAAAGGGGGCCUUAAGGGAGAAGAAUAUCGAGAGUACAUCAAUGCCAGGCGCGUCUGGAAUUACACUCACCACAGGCAGCAUGACACAUUCAGUGCCAGCAUCUGUGUCCUACUGGAGAAGGUUGGGACUCUCCACGUAGGAGGGUCCUCGGGGCAGCAAGCACCAAGAGCCUCUCUAGAGGGAGAAUGGGGCCAGAUACGAACUCUCUACAAUGAACUUGAUUUUCAGCUUAUGAAGGAAUUUUAAGUAAAACGAUUAUUUAAUUUCCACAUAUUCACGUUCAAAAAGCCUUCUGGGUGAAGUACUAGCAGUCACCCUCCUCUACGGGAGUUUUCAGGAUUUUUCUGGCACCAAGGUGAACUCUUCUUGGUACUUCUGGCAAUACAGAUCUGCAGGACAGAUUUAUCUACUGAAUGCUCUGGAGCAGGAAAAGAAAGAAAACCUCUGGAAGCAGGAAAAGGAUAGCAGAGCAGAGACCCCUCCCUCGGUACUCACUUGCACAGAAACUCAGUCUGGACUUGGAUGUUUUAAAUAAAAACUUAUCCUUCCGCAUUCACUGUGAAGUCUCUCUAUUCUGGGGAAACCUGGCAUUCUUGGGCUGCCUCCUGUGGCCCUUUUGUACUGUCAUUCUGCCCCCAACCCUUCUAUACAAGCAGUUGAAUGAUGUGAACUUUGGAAUGGAGUAUUUUACUCUUGGAGGACUGACUUCCUUUCAUAGGCUGCUGGUGUCAGAAAGGACCAUCUGAAGGCAGUUAUUUGUGCUUGGGGAGAAGGGCACUGGCCUGGCCUGAAUCCUCCACCAUGUUUCUGUUGCUGCCUUUUGAUAGCCUGAUAGUCAACCUUCUGGGCAUCUCCCUGACAGUCCUCUUCACCCUCCUGCUUGUUUUCAUCAUAGUCCCCGCCAUUUUUGGAGUCUCUUUUGGUAUCCGAAAGCUCUACAUGAAAACUUUGUUAAAAAUCUUUGCGUGGGCUACCUUGAGAAUGGAGAGAGGAGCCAAGGAGAAGAACCACCAACUUUAUAAGCCCUAUACCAACGGAAUCAUUGCUAAAGAUUCUACUUCACUAGAAGAAGAGAUCAAAGAGAUUCGCCGAAGUGGUAGUAGUAAGGCUCUGGAUAAUACUCCAGAGUUUGAGCUCUCUGACAUUUUCUACUUUUGCCGGAAAGGAAUGGAGACCAUUAUGGAUGAUGAGGUGACAAAGAGAUUCUCGGCGGAGGAAUUGGAAUCCUGGAACCUGCUGAGCAGAACCAAUUAUAAUUUCCAGUACAUCAGUCUUCGGCUUACUAUCUUGUGGGGGUUAGGAGUGCUGAUUCGGUAUUGUUUUCUUCUACCACUCAGGAUAGCUCUUGCGUUCACGGGGAUUAGCCUCCUGGUGGUGGGCACAACUGUGGUGGGAUACUUACCGAAUGGGAGGUUUAAGGAGUUCUUGAGUAAACACGUUCACUUGAUGUGUUAUCGGAUCUGUGUUCGAGCUCUAACAGCCAUCAUUACCUAUCAUGACAGGAAAAACAGACCAAGAAAUGGAGGCAUCUGUGUGGCCAAUCACACAUCUCCUAUUGACGUGAUCAUUUUGGCCAGUGACGGCUACUAUGCCAUGGUGGGUCAAGUGCACGGGGGACUCAUGGGUGUGAUUCAGAGAGCCAUGGUGAAGUCUUGCCCCCACGUCUGGUUUGAGCGUUCUGAAGUGAAAGAUCGCCACCUGGUGGCUAAGAGACUGACUGAGCAUGUACAAGAUAAAAGCAAGCUACCUAUUCUCAUCUUCCCAGAAGGAACCUGCAUCAAUAAUACAUCAGUGAUGAUGUUCAAAAAGGGAAGCUUUGAAAUUGGAGCCACAGUUUACCCUGUUGCUAUCAAGUAUGACCCUCAGUUUGGUGAUGCCUUCUGGAAUAGCAGCAAAUAUGGAAUGGUGACAUAUCUACUGAGAAUGAUGACCAGCUGGGCUAUUGUCUGCAGUGUUUGGUACCUGCCUCCCAUGACCAGAGAGAAAGAUGAAGAUGCCGUCCAGUUUGCCAAUAGGGUGAAAUCUGCUAUUGCCAGGCAGGGAGGAUUGGUGGACCUGCUGUGGGUCUGAGGUAAUUAUGCUUCAUACAAGAGGAGGUUGAUCUGUAUGAAUGCUGGUUCAGAACAUCAUUGCUACAUUCUGAAGGGCAUGGAGGGCAUGGAUCAGUCAUGGAGGACAUUUGGCUAGGGAUGGUGGACUGAAGAGGGAGAAGGUGAAGGACACGUUCAAAGAGGAGCAGCAGAAGCUAUAUAGCAAGAUGAUUGUUGGGAACCACGAGGACAGGAGCCGUUCCUGAGUCUGUGGCUCACAUUGGCUGAAGCCACCAUGCCUGAAUCCUGACGUGUGAGCCAGCUGGAUUUGUUGCUGCCACUGCUGCACCACCGCCACCGCCCCCACUGCUGCAUCCUUCCAGACCCUGGGGCCCUCUGGGGCUGUUCCAGAUCUCAGGACUCCAGCCGCUUCAGAGCCUUUUGGGGAUCCCUGGGCUCUGGGGCAGCACAGCCUGCCCUUUGCUGUCUGAAGUGAAUGCUGCUGGGUGUUGCUACCCAGGACAAGAUGCCUUCUUGUUCUUUUACAAUAAGUCCAUUGGAGGAAUGCCAUUAAAAUCAGCUCUCCACUCUGUGUGUUGUGCAGGGCUGAGCAGUCGGGAAGAUUGGCCACAUUCCCUGUUAAGACGUUGGGUGUUAGUCUGUAAUUGUUGCCCACAUGCCAGGGACUGUGCUGGGGAAGGUCCACUGGCUCCUGAGGAGAGGCACUGCCAAUGCCUAAAUAUCACCCCCCCCCCCAGUCUUGGAACUCUGUACACUUGAAAAGAAAAUUGUUGUCUGCAUUCACCAAAACGAAGUUUUAAAUUCUUGUGCUACUGCUUAUGGGAAAUCACCAGAGGGGAUGGAAAGAGACCAGGUGUGGACCACUGACUAGUCUGGUGAGAGCCAGGAGUUAUUUUCUGUUUAAACUCCAGGCUGAGCCUGAAUUUCCUAUGUGACUUGCUCUAUGUUUAAUGUGUGCCUCAUUUCCUCAUCCAUCAUGUGGAUCAGGAGGGGAAGGGUGAUGAUACCUACCUCACAGGGUUGUUGUGGGGAUUCAAGUGCUGAGGGACAUGUAAUGUGCAGUGUCACAAGUACAGGUUCAUGGGAUGUGGCAGGACAAGGUCUGAGCUCAGAGCUGCUGCACAAGGCGUUGGACUUGUUUUUGUGAGUAAUAAAACUGAAUGGUGAAUGAAUUGAGGGACUUUUCCCUUCACUCACCCUCCCCUGCAUGUAGCCCUGAGUAACGUGUUUUUUGUCAAAGUUACAAUUCUCGUACUUGACUUGUGACCCUGGGACCUCAAGGAUCCACUUGGCCUCUGGAUGAGUAUUAUUUUGUUCAGAAGAUAAACAUCUCACAUUUGCACAUUUCUGUUAAUUUAGAAUUAACAGCAUAGACACAGAUUUCUCCACAGUUGGGAACCACAGGAUUUGAGGGCACCAAUUUGUAGAGCUUGUGGAGAUUGGACAAUGUUGGGGACUGUUUGGAUGUGAGGACCCUGGGAGGCAUGAAAUAUAUACAGCAGGGAAAGGGAGGAUCAGAGGUCCUGGAGAGGGUUGGCAGGUGAGGCAGGAUAGGCAAGGAUACUGGUGCAUCACGUGCUUCUAUACAGCUGAUGGGUAAACUGCAGGUCUCCUGGGCCUACCAGGUCACUUUGCAGUUACUGUAAAGGCACAUCCAAAGCCAAACCAUUCUCAUUGGUUCUUCUGCAGUCCCAGUUUUAUAUUCCUCUGAAGAGAGCGUUGCCUCAGCCCAUUUAUCCAUCUUCCCAUCCCUCCACCAUCCCCUCCUCAACUAUGGCACAAUCUUGGCACUUUUCAGGAUUCUGCCCCAGCUGUGGUGUCAUAUUUCCAAGGUUGCCCACUGGCCUGGGAUUUGGGGAUGUGCUGGGAGUGAGAUCAGGCUCCUGAAAUAUGAACUCAACAUCACUCAUGCUUGAGGACCCAGUCCCCUUUGACCCUGUGAUGUCACUCAUCCUUGUCAUCUUCCUGUCAUCUCCCACGUGGCCUCCUGUUUCCUCCUACCUGCCUUUUUGCCUAGUCAGUGGAAAACUUUUCUCUCUCAAAUAAAAACCCUGUUAUGACUCUUCUUAAGAAAAGUCUCUUAUGAACUGUUUUAUGUAAUGUUCAAGAAUAAAAAGUGACUUUCAGCUUUUAUAGGAGGUGAUGUUUGUAGUGUCUCAAUGCCAAGUUGGAAUGACCUUUAAAAAUUGGUCUUGAAGGUCAAGAUCCCUUCAAAGAAGUUCCUCUAAAAUUUCAUUCAUGUUCUAUCUUAUUUCAUGGUUUGCAUAGGUUUUUCAAAAAUACAUUUUGUUUUUGUUUUCACUUAUCUCCACAUUCUGCACACCUGACAGGAGAAAGGAGGUGAAUUAUUCCUGCAAAAAUGAAGUCUGUGACAUUCUUAUUUAGUGCUCAUUAAAGGCUUUCAGACCCUU